GAGAGGGAGAGAGAGAGAGAGAGAGAGAGAGCGAGCGAGAGAGAGAGCCAACCACCGCCGAGUCAAGAUUCAGCGAUUCCACAGCAAUCGCCCUAAUGACAACAGCCUCAUAAUAUCUCCCCUAAAUCCACAACUUCAGCUGUGUCCCCUGGUUGCUGAGAAGUCUGGAACCCUCUGGAGCCCCCUGAAAUGCCUGCUACCUCUACUCCUCCAAGGAGCUCUGGACUUGCCUACCAGCCCCAGAAGGACAGUCAAACUUUGGAGGCUUCCCCAAAGAAGCGGAUAGGCCUGAACAUUGCAUGUUUGCUCAUAUUUUAAAGGAAAAAAAAAUACAACUAAU